GGCUCAGAGCGAACGCUGGCGGCAGGCUUAACACAUGCAAGUCGAGCGGACCUUUCGGGGUCAGCGGCGGACGGGUGAGUAACGCGUGGGAACGUGCCUUCCGGUUCGGAAUAACCCUGGGAAACUAGGGCUAAUACCGGAUACGCCCUUAUGGGGAAAGGUUUACUGCCGGAAGAUCGGCCCGCGUCUGAUUAGCUAGUUGGUGGGGUAACGGCCUACCAAGGCGACGAUCAGUAGCUGGUCUGAGAGGAUGAUCAGCCACACUGGGACUGAGACACGGCCCAGACUCCUACGGGAGGCAGCAGUGGGGAAUAUUGGACAAUGGGCGCAAGCCUGAUCCAGCCAUGCCGCGUGAGUGAUGAAGGCCUUAGGGUUGUAAAGCUCUUUUAUCCGGGACGAUAAUGACGGUACCGGAGGAAUAAGCCCCGGCUAACUUCGUGCCAGCAGCCGCGGUAAUACGAAGGGGGCUAGCGUUGCUCGGAAUCACUGGGCGUAAAGGGCGCGUAGGCGGCGUUUUAAGUCGGGGGUGAAAGCCUGUGGCUCAACCACAGAAUGGCCUUCGAUACUGGGACGCUUGAGUAUGGUAGAGGUUGGUGGAACUGCGAGUGUAGAGGUGAAAUUCGUAGAUAUUCGCAAGAACACCGGUGGCGAAGGCGGCCAACUGGACCAUUACUGACGCUGAGGCGCGAA
rnacentral:rRNA from 1 species